AAAACUCGUGUCAGUCACUUUAUUGUCUGGUCAAGAUUCGAUUAUCAUGGACCUAUGAAUAUCACUUUAAAUAAACAUACAAGCCACCGUGUCCAAACGCUUCAGUUCCGCUCUGUCUGCCUUUA